rnacentral:rRNA from 1 species
CCCUANUAACGGCGAGUGAANCGGCAAAAGCUCAGAUUUGAAAUCUCUUUGAUUAAUCAAGGCGAAUUGUAAUCUGUAGAAGGUUGAAUGGCUGCAUUUAUUGAUUUAAAUUCCUUGGAAUAGGAUAUCAUAGAGGGUGAGAAUCCCGUGAUUAAUUAAUUAAAUAAAGCCAAUUAAUUCACCUUUCGACGAGUCGAGUUGUUUGGGAAUGCAGCUCUAAAUGGGUGGUAAAUUUCAUCUAAAGCUAAAUACCUGCCAGAGACCGAUAGCGAACAAGUAGAGUGAUCGAAAGAUGAAAAGCACUUUGAAAAGAGAGUUAAAAAGUACGUGAAAUUGUUGAAAGGGAAGCGCUUGCGAUUAGACUUGAUAAUUAAAUUCAAUUAACCUACGGGUUCAAUUUAUUUUUUAUUUAUCAGGCCAGCAUCAGUUUGGUGGGAUUUAUAAAAUUAAAUGGAAUGUAGUAAUUCUUCGGUAAUUAUGUUAUAGCCAUUUAAAUAAUUAAAUUCACUCAGACUGAGGUCUGCUCUCGGAAAGGAUGCUGGCAUAAU